rnacentral:rRNA from 1 species
CCUACGGGAGGCAGCAGUGGGGAAUUUUGCACAAUGGGGGAAACCCUGAUGCAGCGACGCCGCGUGAGUGAAGAAGUAUCUCGGUACGUAAAGCUCUAUCAGCAGGGAAGAUAAUGACGGUACCUGACCCAGAAGCCCCGGCUAACUACGUGCCAGCAGCCGCGGGAAUACGUAGGGGGCAAGCGUUAUCCGGAUUUACUGGGUGUAACGGGAGCGUAGACGGCAGCACAAGUCUGGAGUGAAAUCCCGGGGCUUAACCCAGGAACUGCUGUGGAAACUGUGCGGCUGGAGUGCAGGAGAGGUAAGCGGAAUUCCUAGUGUAGCGGUGAAAUGCGUAGAUAUUAGGAGGAACACCGGUGGCGAAGGCGGCUUACUGGACUGUAACUGACGUUGAGGCUCGAAAGCGUGGGGAGCAAACAGGAUUAGAUACCCUAGUAGUC